rnacentral:rRNA from 1 species
UACGAAGGGGGGCUAGCGUUGCUCGGAAUCACUGGGGCGUAAAGCGCACGUAGGCGGAUCUUUUAAGUCAGGGGGUGAAAUCCCAAGGCUCAACCUUGGAACUGCCUUUGAUACUGGGGAUCUCGAGUCCGGAAGAGGUGAGUGGAACUGGCGAGUGUAGAGGUGAAAUUCGUAGAUAUUCGCAAGAACACCAGUGGCGAAGGCGGCUCACGUGGUCCGGUACUCGGACG